rnacentral:lncRNA from 10 species
AGAGCUGCAGCUUGCAGCCACAUCAGUAAGCCCUGUAGUUUCAGGCCUCAGCGUGGCUCAUUUUUAAGGAACUCAUUUACCAUGAGCCACUGGGAAAUACCCUGCAUUUAGGGUCAUGAGACUUGAAUUUGAAAUACUUUCCUGCUAGUUCUUUAGUAGUAGAAAGUCACUCUACCUUCCUGAGCCUCCACCUUCUUAUCUGCAAAAUAGGGGAAAGAAAGAGAAGCAACUCAUAUGGGGAGGAGAGUGAGAACAAACACGACAGUCUUUGUAAAGAUGAAAGCACUUGUCAUGUUUGGGAGUGCUAUUAUGUAAUUACUGGAUGUUCCCAAAGGCUUGUCAAACUGUGGUUGGAUUUUGACAUUGGCAUGUGGAAACGGGCCUGCUCACCUUCAGAAUUAGCAGUUAGACCCAUUGCUCCCUCUUAAGGUUUGGUGUGGAUGCCUCCACCCCACAGAGAGGUUAGAGGAGGAACCCCGACCUUGGGGCUUGCUACUGGCACCUCUCCUCCCAAUUUCUCGGGACCUCUAGGCCAACAGAGGCCCCAUCUCACAGCCUUGCAUCCAAAUGAGAGAACAGCUCAGCCGCCAAUCUCUUCCUACCUGUGAAAACACCCAGGUGUUUUCUUGUUACAUAAAUGCACUCUCAAGGUGAAGAAGGCAGCAGAUCCAGCAGCAGGAACCUCCCUAAAGAGGCGCAGAGGGCCGGGGAGUGUGUGUGGACAAGCCCUGGUGUGCAUUCCAGAGGCAGCCCCUCUCUGGCUAGCUGUGUGGCUUCUUUUGGGGUGUGGGAGGAGGGGCGGAGCCAAGGAUUGGGUGUAGUCCUCCCUGGCUGACUGUGGCUGCCACCCACCAUUGGAGAGGUCUCAGAAGGUUCCUCCCUAUCUCCGUGGUAACCCGACACUGUGCUGUGGUGAGAAGAGGAAACUGCAAACAGAGUUGGCUCCUUCCACCAGACCCGUUCUGGAGUUCUAGAUUUCUGCUUGUGGUGUGUCAAUCAUUCAAUCAGACCUAACAGCAACUCCAGAUUGCGGCUGUCAGAAGCCGUGGCCUCGCACGCCUUUCCUGGGCAACACCAUCAGUCCACCAGGGCAGGCUGGACACAUGGAGCCUGCGACUCUCCCCUGCCCAGUCCAGCCCCUGCUCCACUGCUGAGGAGCAGAACUCACCACAUAGGAAUGUGAGCAGCCAGGAUGGGAGGGAGGUGAAGGAUGAACGGGGAGCUGGGGCCAAAGAAGAGCCCAGCCAGGUCAAGAAUUCCCCCAGUUCUCUUCCUUUGACACUCCACCCUCCAAAUCGCACAUCUGGAAGGAAAAAUGAAUCCCAUAUAUAUUUCAGAAUUUCCAUGAAGUUGAGAAGGGAGCACUAUGGCAUCUUGCAGGUUUUUCUGUUUUGCUUUUAUUUUUAUUUUUUUUUUUUUUGAGGUGGAGGCUCACUGUGUCACCCAGGCUGGAGUGCAGUGGUGGAAUCUUGGCUCA